CUAAUCUAUCUCCAGGAUGCUACAGAGGCUGGGAACAGCAGCGGUGAGAGUGUUACAUUGAAUCCCACUUUCCUUGAAAUCUAACGGCAACCCCUCAAGUCCUGCUGAAUACUACACCAGUCUUGAUCAUGAACUACAGUAAGAGUCCAAAAAGGAGAAAGUCAUCUUCCAGGUUAGCCCUGCCUCUUGGAAAUGUGUUGAAAGUGACCUGUUCCCACAACUGCUUCGGUUUUGGAGAGUCGGCAUUUUCCAGUGAAAAAAUGUUUUGUCGAAAAAUCAAGUUCCAGCCCAGGAUUCUCUCUAGGUCCCAUUUCUGGCCCAGCAACAUGGCUUCAUGUAGCCAUUGGUUCUCCCACCGUGACCUGCAGGAAGCCCACACACCACCAUGGAGGAAACAAUUAAUUUUUCAUCAGCUGGUUAUUAGGUUUCGGCACGGAAUCCUCGCAUCAAAAACGCCAUCCAGGGCCGUAUCAACGAGAAAUGAUUAAGUGCAAAAUAAUGAGAAAAUUAGGCAGUCCGCGACAGUCAGGCUUGAAACAAACGAUCCCUUACUCCAGCCCUGAGGCAGCUCAUGAAAAUAAAAAUAAAAUUAAUUAAUUAAAAAGGCA